rnacentral:rRNA from 2 species
UACGAGGGGGGCUAGUGUUGUUCGGAAUCACUGGGCGUAAAGGGAGCGUAGGCGGGCUCUUAAGUUAGGUGUUUAAUCCCGGGGCCCAACCCCGGACAGGCACCUAAAACUGGGAGUCUUGAAUAGUGGAGAGGUCAGUGGAAUUGGGGGUGUAGCGGUGGAAUGCGUAGAGAUCCCCAAGAACACCAGUUGCGAAGGCGGCUGACUGGACACAUAUUGACGCUGAGGCUCGAAAGCAUGGGGAGCAAACAGG